rnacentral:rRNA from 1 species
CACUCCUACGGGAGGCAGCAGUGGGGAAUAUUGGACAAUGGGCGCAAGCCUGAUCCAGCCAUGCCGCGUGAGUGAUGAAGGCCCUAGGGUUGUAAAGCUCUUUCACCGGUGAAGAUAAUGACGGUAACCGGAGAAGAAGCCCCGGCUAACUUCGUGCCAGCAGCCGCGGUAAUACGAAGGGGGCUAGCGUUGUUCGGAUUUACUGGGCGUAAAGCGCACGUAGGCGGACUAUUAAGUCAGGGGUGAAAUCCCGGGGCUCAACCCCGGAACUGCCUUUGAUACUGGUAGUCUUGAGUUCGAGAGAGGUGAGUGGAAUUCCGAGUGUAGAGGUGAAAUUCGUAGAUAUUCGGAGGAACACCAGUGGCGAAGGCGGCUCACUGGCUCGAUACUGACGCUGAGGUGCGAAAGCGUGGGGAGCAAACAGGAUUAGAUACCCUUGUAGUCCCAUGAU